UACGUAGGGUGCAAGCGUUGUCCGGAAUUAUUGGGCGUAAAGAGCUCGUAGGCGGUCUGUCGCGUCGGCUGUGAAAACUCGGGGCUCAACCCCGAGCCUGCAGUCGAUACGGGCAGACUAGAGUGCUGUAGGGGAGACUGGAAUUCCUGGUGUAGCGGUGAAAUGCGCAGAUAUCAGGAGGAACACCGGUGGCGAAGGCGGGUCUCUGGGCCUGUACUGACGCUGAGGAACGAAAGCGUGGGGAGCGAACAGG
rnacentral:rRNA from 1 species